UGGGCCGAGAUGAGGCCGCGUGGGCGAUGAGGUCUCCAGGUCCCCACCCAGGCUCCGUCCAUGCUGGCAGGCAUGUGCCUCCAAACCUAAAGGCAAGAACAGAGGAGUUACUGACGGGCUGCCCCAACAGAGGCCGCAGCUCCUGAGCCGGAAGGGCCGGCAGCAGUUUCUCCCGCUCACUGCCAGUCCUGCCAGUCUCGUGCUGCAUGCCCCUCGCGCACACCGGAGCUCAGCCCGCACCCUGCAGCUGGGCUCUGCAGCCUGACGUGUGCAGGAGCUCUCCCUCACCUCUCUGAGCCUUGGAGGACGAGCGCGAUGAGGCUGAGCUAGUCUGCUGCUGGGGCUGCUCUCAGGCACAGGGCACGGCGAGCGGCUGCGGGCAGCACAGCUCACAAAUGAGGCGCCUGGAGCCAGCGGCCAGCUGUCCUUGGGGAGGGCCCGGCGUCGUCAUGGCAAUGCAUUGUGACAGCACACGGGCUCCGGGUGAUGUCAUCUGUGCUGUGACAUCUCCUGGCUGGCCUGGAGCCACGCCCGCCACGCCUUUUCGGCCUCGCACCCCAACCAGUACAAAGGGUAGCGCACGCUGCCGACACCUGCAGAUGGACUGAGCUCUCACUUCUAGCCACGUGCCGCCCGGGGCUCCUGAGGCUCGGUCAGCGUCACCUGCAAGGGAGAGAUUACGUUACUUCGAACCUACUG